rnacentral:rRNA from 1 species
CAGCAGCCGCGGUAACACGUAGGGUGCAAGCGUUAAUCGGAAUUACUGGGCGUAAAGCGUGCGCAGGCGGUUUGUUAAGACAGAUGUGAAAUCCCCGGGCUCAACCUGGGAACUGCAUUUGUGACUGGCAAGCUAGAGUGUGGCAGAGGGGGGUGGAAUUCCGCGUGUAGCAGUGAAAUGCGUAGAUAUGCGGAGGAACACCGAUGGCGAAGGCAGCCCCCUGGGCCAACACUGACGCUCAUGCACGAAAGCGUGGGGAGCAAACAGGAUUAGAUACCCGAGUAGUCCCUGUCUCUUAUAC